CACGUAGGGUGCGAGCGUUGUCCGGAAUUAUUGGGCGUAAAGAGCUCGUAGGCGGUGUGUCGCGUCGGCCGUGAAAACCUGCAGCUUAACUGUGGGCUUGCGGUCGAUACGGGCAUCACUGGAGUUCGGCAGGGGAGACUGGAAUUCCGGGUGUAGCGGUGGAAUGCGUAGAGAUCCGGAAGAACACCGGUGGCGAAGGCGGUCUGCUGGGCCAAGACUGACGCUGAGGCGCGACAGCGUGGGGAGCAAACAGG
rnacentral:rRNA from 1 species